rnacentral:rRNA from 1 species
AGCAGCCGCGGUAAUUCCAGCUCCAAUAGCGUAUAUUAAAGUUGUUGCAGUUAAAAAGCUCGUAGUUGAAUUUCGGGAUCAAUAUUUCGGUCAUGCCGUUGGUAUGCACUGUUAUCAUUGAUUUCUCACCUUCUAAAGAACCGUAAUGCCAUUAAUUUGGUGUUACGGGGAAUUAGGACUGUUACCUUGAAAAAUUAGAGUGUUUAAAGCAGGCUCACGCUUGAAUACAUUAGCAUGGAAUAAUGAAUAGGACAUCCGAUUCUAUUUUGUUGGUUUCUAGGAUCGAUGUAAUGAUUAAUAGGGAUAGUUGGGGGCAUUAGUAUUCAAUUGUCAGAGGUGAAAUUCUUGGAUUUAUUGAAGACUAACUACUGCGAGAGCAUUUGCCAAGGAUGUUUUCAUUA